rnacentral:lncRNA from 1 species
CAGUGAUGCAACAAAAGGUCUAGGUGUUUAAAAUUUUUCAUUCAAAUAUCCAGGUGCACCGAAAUCCUAGAACCCAGAAAUCCUUAACCAUACCAAUCAAAGUAGAGAUCUACAAGAAGUAUUAAGAAGCAUACCUCUUGAAUUCUGAUUUGAUGAAGAAUUACUUCUACAAGGUGUCCAAGUGUUCUCCCUCCAACGGUAAUUCACAUAAGAGUCGAUCUAAAGACAGUGCUCCUUCUGGAAUCUUGCUUCAAGAGUUCUAGUCCUUAGAACUCAAAUAGCCUUGCACCAAUUAUAUUUCUUCAAGAACCUGACCUCAUCCUUUUGAAGACUCCUCUGGACUUUUCAAACCUCUCUUUCAGAACUUUCUUCUCCCUUGUUAGGACCUCACUUAGAUUUUUCUUAAAUAUAGAAGGCCUUGUCCUAAAACUAGAGAGAUGUAAGAAAGAAAGGAUAGAACUUGGACUGUUUUUGGAAAGCCUGAAUUGGAAUGAAAUGCCCGGUGCCCAAGCCCUUUUUAUAGGUGAACAAGGGGUGCGUGGGGAAGAGUUACAACUCUUCCUCAUGUCCUCUGACUGUUGCAUGUCAGAAGAAGAGAGUCUUCA